AUUGAACGCUGGCGGCAGGCUUAACACAUGCAAGUCGAGCGGGGUGAUGGUGCUUGCACUAUCACUUAGCGGCGGACGGGUGAGUAAUGCUUAGGAAUCUGCCUAUUAGUGGGGGACAACAUCUCGAAAGGGAUGCUAAUACCGCAUACGUCCUACGGGAGAAAGCAGGGGAUCACUUGUGACCUUGCGCUAAUAGAUGAGCCUAAGUCGGAUUAGCUAGUUGGUGGGGUAAAGGCCUACCAAGGCGACGAUCUGUAGCGGGUCUGAGAGGAUGAUCCGCCACACUGGGACUGAGACACGGGCCAGACUCCUACGUGAGGCAGCAGUGGGGAAUAUUGUACCAUGGGGGGAACCCUGAUCCAGCCAUGCCGCGUGUGUGAAGAAGGCCUUAUGGUUGUAAAGCACUUUAAGCGAGGAGGAGGCUCUUUUGGUUAAUACCCAAGAUGAGUGGACGUUACUCGCAGAAUAAGCACCGGCUAACUCUGUGCCAGCAGCCGCAGUAA
rnacentral:rRNA from 1 species